UGGGGAUGACGUCAAGUCCUCAUGGCCCUUAUGGGUAGGGCUUCACACGUCAUACAAUGGUCGGUACAGAGGGUUGCCAAGCCGCGAGGUGGAGCCAAUCCCACAAAGCCGAUCGUAGUCCGGAUUGUUCUCUGCAACUCGAGAGCAUGAAGUCGGAAUCGCUAGUAAUCGCAGGUCAGCAUACUGCGGUGAAUACGUUCCCGGGUCUU
rnacentral:rRNA from 1 species